rnacentral:lncRNA from 1 species
UCAGCCGCAGGGGAAAAAAGCUCUGAAUCUACAACACACCCUUUCCCUAGCUGCUCCUGUCAGCACCCUCUCAAAGUGAGGAAAAGAAACCUGUUUUCCUUAUGACAAAGACUGAUUUGAUGAUAAACCUUCUCGGCUUCCCAGGAGGUGGCAGUGACUCUGAUCGGUGAGGAGGAGGCCGAAGGAGUAGACAGUCUGCACCUCCCACUCCAGGGGAAUCUAAUCCACUCAGGCCAAGGGAGGAAAGAGGAGGCGGCCCGAGGCCACACUGUCCAAGGGGGUCGCCAUCCGACUCUGAAGCCUGGAGACCCUGGAGCCCCAGAGUGAGUCUUCCCGAGGCCGUGACCAGAGGAUGUCAGCAUGUGCGUGGAGGGCUGGAACCGCGCCUUCUUCAGCAUGGAUCAGAGACCGGCCAAGAGCUCUGGCAGCAGAGUCAGCUAGAGGCCAGCUGUGCUCCGGACAGGAUCAGAAGCUGGCUGUCUGUGCUUCCUUCCUUUUGCUCCUCCUCUUCAUCAGAUCCUUCUUUGUCCCUGAAAGCCAGGCCGAUGCCCAGCAGUGCACAUUCUCUUGCCCCUCCGUUCCUCUGAGGUGGCCGCAGUCUGAAGCCCCUCUGGGCCCCCUUGUGCCUGAACUGAGACACACAAGUAGAAAAGGACUCCGCAGACGGCUGCACCCGUGGUGCAAGAGGAGGCCCCGAGGCUGUUUGCUCCAGCACCUGAGCCUGGAAGGGAACACAGAAGGUGGCAGGGACAGCAGAGGGGAGAUACCUGUGUGCAGGUCCACUGGGCGUCGGGAAGGGCAGCACGGGCUGGACUGGGCUGAGGCUGGGGGGGGGCCCCGGCUGUUUUGCCACCGGGUCGGGUCAGUCGGGGUGGGAGGACGAGUGGAAUGUAAACAGGCAUCUUUCCUCCGUCUUUCCCCGUGGUCCCGGCCACGCUGCGGAGACCGAGGGAGGAGACUCUGAGGCUGCCGGAGCCCGGAGACCGUGAAGCGGCUGGCCGCGGCAGAGGCGACCUUGAGACAGAGGAGAACCAGAGUGGAGCGGGAGUCUGUGGGGAAGAGGGAGGGGCGGGAGGAAGGAGGGUGCAGGGAGGGGCCUCUUGUCUGUCUGUCUGUCUGUCUACCUCCCUCCGUGCCCGGAGCGAGAAGGACAGACUCGGG